rnacentral:rRNA from 80 species
CAGUGAUAAACUGGAGGAAGGUGGGGAUGACGUCAAGUCAUCAUGGCCCUUACGACCAGGGCUACACACGUGCUACAAUGGCGCAUACAAAGAGAAGCGACCUCGCGAGAGCAAGCGGACCUCAUAAAGUGCGUCGUAGUCCGGAUUGGAGUCUGCAACUCGACUCCAUGAAGUCGGAAUCGCUAGUAAUCGUGGAUCAGAAUGCCACGGUGAAUACGUUCCCGGGCCUUGUACACACCGCCCGUCACACCAUGGGAGUGGGUUGCAAAAGAAGUAGGUAGCUUAACCUUCGGGAGGGCGCUUACCACUUUGUGAUUCAUGACUGGGGUGAAGUCGUAACAAGGUAACCGUAGGGGAACCUGCGGUUGGAUCACCUCCUUACCUUAAAGAA